GGCGAGUGAAGCAGCAAUAGCUCAAAUUUGAAAUCUGGCGUCUUCGACGUCCGAGUUGUAAUUUGUAGAGGAUGCUUCUGAGUGGCCACCGACCUAAGUUCCUUGGAACAGGACGUCAUAGAGGGUGAGAAUCCCGUAUGCGGUCGGAAAGGCGCUCUAUACGUAGCUCCUUCGACGAGUCGAGUUGUUUGGGAAUGCAGCUCUAAAUGGGAGGUAAAUUUCUUCUAAAGCUAAAUAUUGGCCAGAGACCGAUAGCGCACAAGUAGAGUGAUCGAAAGAUGAAAAGCACUUUGGAAAGAGAGUUAAAAAGCACGUGAAAUUGUUAAAAGGGAAGGGAUUGCAACCAGACUU
rnacentral:rRNA from 1 species